UACGAGGGGUGCAAGCGUUGCUCGGAAUUAUUGGGCGUAAAGGGUAGGUAGGUGGUCUCAUUUGUCUGGGGUGAAAGCCUUGAGCUUAACUCAAGAAGUGCCCCAGAAACGGUGAGACUGGAGUCCUGGAGAGGGUCGUGGAAUUCCCGGUGUAGCGGUGAAAUGCGUAGAGAUCGGGAGGAACACCAGAGGCGAAGGCGGGUCUCUGGGCAGUAACUGACGCUGAGGAGCGAAAGCGUGGGGAGCGAACAGG
rnacentral:rRNA from 1 species